AUGUUCACUUCAGCAGCUCAUCUACCAAAAGCAGAAUAACACAGAAAAGAUUAGCAUGACCCCUGUGCAAGAACGCCAUACAAACUGGUGCAUUGUUCAGUAUUUGG
ensembl:snRNA U6 U6 spliceosomal RNA